rnacentral:rRNA from 1 species
AUUGAACGCUGGCGGCAGGCUUAACACAUGCAAUUCGAGCGGGGGAAGGUAGCUUGCUACCGGACCUAGCGGCGGACGGGUGAGUAAUGCUUAGGAAUCUGCGUAUUAGUGGGGGACAAACGCUCGCAAGGGAGGCUAAUACCUCAUACGUCCGAAGGGAGACAGCAGGGGAUCUUCGGACCUUGCCCUAAUAGCUGAGCCUAAGUCGGAUUAUCUAGGUGGUGGGGUAAAGGCCUACCAAGGCGACGAGCUGUAGCGGGUCUGAGAGGAUGAUCCGCCACACUGGGACUGAGACACGGCCCAGACUCCUACGGGAGGCAGCAGUGAGGAAUAUUGGACAAUGGGGGGAACCCUGAUCCAGCCAUGCCGCGUGUGUGAAGAAGGCCUUAUGGUUGUAAAGCACUUUAAGCGAGGAGGAGGCUACUUUAGUUAAUACCUGGAGAUAGUGGACGUUAAUCGCAGAAUAAGCACCGGCUAACUCUGUGCCAGCAGCCGCGGUAA